AUUUGUGCAAAACAAACUUUUGAAAGUUGCAUAUGUAUAAGUAAACAAUUCUGAAUCAUUUUCUGUUUGCGUCACUGUGUUAAUAUGUGAUUCCCAGUGAGAUAAAGCUUGGGUGCCUCACGCCAACAUUUCUGUUAAAAAAGGUGUUAAAUACGAUGGGCUCGCGUGUAAAUCAAAGGCCAUUAUGUGAAUGUUCUGAAGACCGCCCAUGACGAAGGAUUCAGGAAUGCCUACCAUUCAUUUCCAAUGAUAAUGGUAAAAUGGAAAUAUAAAGAUUACCAUCAAAUUGAACACCAUAUGCGACUCAAGUACCGCAAAUGAAUCAGCUGUCAAUUGACGUCAUACACAUGCAUGCGGCAGACUUUUUACAAAUUUGUUCAGCUACUGCUGCGGGUAGCCAAAAGAAUGAAGGGAUGCCAGAUGCACAUGGUGAAUAUCAGCCCAUCCCUCUUCAAAACCGUUCAAAAACGAUCAAACACGCCGAAAAACACAUUGAAUUUAUUGAAUUACCACAGAGGGAAAUGUAAACGUUGACAAUAGAACGAUUUUGAAUGUUUCGCAACACUACACGCGACAUAAACACACAAAUGAAAAAAAAUAAAGGUGAACAUUUUAUGAUGA